AUGAACGCUGGCGGCGUGCCUAAUACAUGCAAGUCGAGCGAACAGAUGAGGAGCUUGCUCCUCUGACGUUAGCGGCGGCCGGGUGAGUAACCCGUGGAUAACCUACCUAUAAGCCUGGGAUAACUUCGGGAAACCGGAGCUAAUACCGGAUAAUAUCUUGAACCGCAUGGUUCAAUAGUGAAAGACGGUUUUGCUGUCACUUAUAGAUGGAUCCGCGCCGCAUUAGCUAGUUGGUAAGGUAACGGCUUACCAAGGCAACGAUGCGUAGCCGACCUGAGAGGGUGAUCGGCCACACUGGAACUGAGACACGGUCCAGACUCCUACGGGAGGCAGCAGUAGGGAAUCUUCCGCAAUGGGCGAAAGCCUGACGGAGCAACGCCGCGUGAGUGAUGAAGGUCUUCGGAUCGUAAAACUCUGUUAUUAGGGAAGAACAAAUGUGUAAGUAACUAUGCACGUCUUGACGGUACCUAAUCAGAAAGCCACGGCUAACUACGUG
rnacentral:rRNA from 1 species